CAGUCGAGGGGUAUAGUAGCAAUACUAGAGACCGGCGCACGGGUGCGUAACGCGUAUGCAAUCUACCUUUUACAGAGGGAUAGCCCAGAGAAAUUUGGAUUAAUACCUCAUAGUAUAACGAGUUCGCAUGAAUUUGUUAUUAAAGUCACAACGGUAAAAGAUGAGCAUGCGUCCCAUUAGCCAGUUGGUAAGGUAACGGCUUACCAAGGCUACGAUGGGUAGGGGUCCUGAGAGGGAGAUCCCCCACACUGGUACUGAGACACGGACCAGACUCCUACGGGAGGCAGCAGUGAGGAAUAUUGGUCAAUGGGCGCAAGCCUGAACCAGCCAUGCCGCGUGCAGGAUGACGGGCCUAUGGAUUGUAAACUGCUUUUGCACAGGAAGAAACACUACCUCGUGAGGUAGCUUGACGGUACUGUGAGAAUAAGGAUCGGCUAACUCCGUGCCAGCAGCCGCGGUAAUACGGAGGAUCCAAGCGUUAUCCGGAAUCAUUGGGUUUAAAGGGUCCGUAGGCGGUCUAAUAAGUCAGUGGUGAAAGCCCUACGCUCAACGUAGGAACGGCCAUUGAUACUGUUAGACUUGAAUUACUUGGAAGUAACUAGAAUAUGUAGUGUAGCGGUGAAA
rnacentral:rRNA from 1 species